AAGGAACUGCCUGCCUCCAGAGGGAAUCUCCACCUGCCUCUGGAUGAUACUUGUGGUUGUUUACAUAGUAGAGUCUCCAGACAAGACAAUGAGUGACAUUGUGCCAGCAGAACAAGACUGAACAAAGCCUUGCCUUCAUUCAUGGGAUUCCAAGAAUUCUCAUCAAAAUACUAACUAGGGCGAGAACUACUUCAUCUCCAAGUGCAGAGGCAGUCAGCCUGGCAUGGCCCCAUAUAACAAUACUAGAAAAUAAAAUGUAAGUGUCUUACUUCACUAUAAAGCUAAACUCCAUGAAA